GGCUCAGGAUGAACGCUAGCUACAGGCUUAACACAUGCAAGUCGAGGGGCAGCAUUAUCGAAGCUUGCUUGAUAGAUGGCGACCGGCGCACGGGUGAGUAACGCGUAUCCAACCUUCCCAUCACUCAGGGAUAGCCCGCCGAAAGGCGAAUUAAUACCUGAUGGUCUCCUUCGCGGACAUCUAACGAGGAGUAAAGAUUUAUUGGUGAUGGAUGGGGAUGCGUCUGAUUAGGUAGUAGGCGGGGUAACGGCCCACCUAGCCGACGAUCAGUAGGGGUUCUGAGAGGAAGGUCCCCCACAUUGGAACUGAGACACGGUCCAAACUCCUACGGGAGGCAGCAGUGAGGAAUAUUGGUCAAUGGACGGAAGUCUGAACCAGCCAAGUAGCGUGCAAGGAUGACGGCCCUAUGGGUUGUAAACUGCUUUUGUGCGGGAAUAAAGUAUGGGACGUGUCCCAUUUUGCAUGUACCGCACGAAUAAGGACCGGCUAAUUCCGUGCCAGCAGCCGC
rnacentral:rRNA from 1 species